CCUACGGGUGGCAGCAGUGAGGAAUAUUGGUCAAUGGACGAGAGUCUGAACCAGCCAAGUAGCGUGAAGGAUGACUGCCCUAUGGGUUGUAAACUUCUUUUAUAAAGGAAUAAAACGAGGCACGUGUGCCUUUUUGCAUGUACUUUAUGAAUAAGGAUCGGCUAACUCCGUGCCAGCAGCCGCGGUAAUACGGAGGAUCCGAGCGUUAUCCGGAUUUAUUGGGUUUAAAGGGAGCGGAGAUGGGUUGUUAAGUCAGUUGUGAAAGUUUGCGGCUCAACCGUAAAAGUGCAAUUGAUACUGGCAGUCGUGAGUACAGUUGAGGUAAGCGGAAUUCGUGGUGUAGCGGUGAAAUGCUUAGAUAUCACGAAGAACCACGAUUGCGAAGGCAGCUUACUAAACUGUGACUGACAUUGAUGCUCGAAAGUGUGGGUAUCAAACAGGAUUAGAUACCCUGGUAGUC
rnacentral:rRNA from 1 species